GACGAACGCUGGCGGCGUGCUUAACACAUGCAAGUCGAACGGUAAGGCCCUUUCGGGGGUACACGAGUGGCGAACGGGUGCGUAACACGUGGGUGAUCUGCCCUGCACUUUGGGAUAAGCCUGGGAAACUGGGUCUAAUACCGGAUAGGACUACGCGAUGCAUGUCGUGUGGUGGAAAGCUUUUGCGGUGUGGGAUGGGCCCGCGGCCUAUCAGCUUGUUGGUGGGGUGAUGGCCUACCAAGGCGACGACGGGUAGCCGGCCUGAGAGGGUGUCCGGCCACACUGGGACUGAGAUACGGCCCAGACUCCUACGGGAGGCAGCAGUGGGGAAUAUUGCACAAUGGGCGCAAGCCUGAUGCAGCGACGCCGCGUGGGGGAUGACGGCCUUCGGGUUGUAAACCCCUUUCAGCACAGACGAAGCGUAAGUGACGGUAUGUGCAGAAGAAGCACCGGCCAACUACGUG
rnacentral:rRNA from 1 species